CCUACGGGCGGCAGCAGUAGGGAAUAUUGCUCAAUGGGGGAAACCCUGAAGCAGCGACGCCGCGUGAAGGAUGAAGGUUUUCGGAUUGUAAACUCCUUUUGUUAGAGAAGAUAAUGACGGUAUCUAACGAAUAAGCAACGGCUAAAUCCGUGCCAGCAGCCGCGGUAAUACGGCGGGUGCAAGCGUUACUCGGAAUCACUGGGCGUAAAGGGCGCGUAGGCGGGAUAGCAAGUCAGAUGUGAAAUCCUAUGGCUUAACCAUAGAACUGCCUUUGAAACUGUUAUUCUAGAGUAUGGGAGAGGUAGGUGGAAUUCUUGGUGUAGGGGUAAAAUCCGUAGAGAUCAAGAGGAAUACUCAUUGCGAAGGCGACCUGCUAGCACAUAACUGACGCUGAUGCGCGAAAGCGUGGGGAGCAAACAGGAUUAGAUACCCUUGUAGUC
rnacentral:rRNA from 1 species